GCUGGCAUAAUGAUGAUGAUCACUCUUUGCCGUUUACCCAACUGAAUUUUAUGAUGAGCAGUUUGCAUCUGAUGUGCCAGC